ensembl:lncRNA
CAGACACUCAAUCUAACGGCACCUUGAUCUUGAACUUCCAGCCUUCAGAACUGUGAGAAAUACAUUUCUGUUGUUUAUAAGCCACUCAGUCUACGGUAUUUUUGUUACCGCAGCUUGAAUGGACUAAGACAGGACACUAUUGAGCAUCUCUCCUGAGAUGAUGAAUCAAUCAUUCUUGGAACCUGAACACUAAGCCUGCUGAUGAGUGAGGUCACACUCAUUUGGAGCUGCUGGAGAAGAAGAAGGCUAUUUCCUUAUGGACCUUACUGUUAAAGACAGAUGUAAUCAUCAAAUGGAAAAAUCCUCAAAUAUUUAGAAAUUCCAGCAUGUGAAGAGUCUGACUGCACAAGCGAUUGGAAUGAGGAGAUUAGACCCAAGGCCUUCAAUGCAAUUGGUGACCUUUUACUAGCUGAGGUCUAUGUAAAACUCUGUCUUUGAAGGUGAAUAGUUAAACAAAAUGUGGUACAUCCAUACCUUGGAAUAUUACUCAGCAAUAAAAAGGAACCAACUAUUGACAGAUGGAAGAACUUAGAUGAAUCUUCAGAGGAUUAUGCUGAGUGAGAAACCAAGUCUCCAAAGGUUACCUACUGUAUGAUUCCACGCACGUGUGUUUGUACAUAACAUUCUUGAAAUGAUAAAACUCUAGAAAUGGAGAAGAGAUUAGUGGUUGCCAGGAGUUAAGGAACGAUGGGAGUGGGAGGGAAAUGGGUGUGGCUAUUGAAAAGAUUUCAUGAUAAUCCUCAUAGUGAUGGCAAUGUUUAGUAUCUUGACUGUAUCAAUGUCAAUAUCUGGGUUGUGAUAUUGUACUAUAGUUUUACAACAUGUUACCAUUGGGGGAAACUGGGUAAAGGCACACAGGACCUCCCGAUAUUAUUUCUUACAACUGCAUAUGAAUCUACAGCUAUCUCAAAACAAAAAAUUCAACUUAAAAAUUGGAAGUCUUUUCCUUGCCUGAUUACAGAUCUAUUAACUUAUUAGAUGUUCCACGCAAAAGGUGGUCAGUUUUUACUACAAAAUGUAAGUCUGGGUUUUUCAGGCCAGUACUUAACAUGAGGAGCCUAGGGUUUUAUGUGUAACUAUUCCACCAUAAGCCACUAUUAGAUUCUUUGCUACCUUGAAGAGAAAUCUGUCUGUAACAACAUAAAUGGUGGUUCUUACAGGCUUUUCCUUGGCCGGUGACUUUAUGAACCUCGAGUGGGUCUAGGCUUAGUUGCAUCACUCCUGACCAGUGAUGCUCGUUAAAACCUACACAUGAACCACCUCGAGAGUCAGAGCAGGAAGUGACUCUUGACAGAUCAGUUAACAACCUCUAAUGGGAUAAACCUGGAAUUUGUUUUGUCUUCUCCUCCUUUUGACUUAGACUUAGAUCAUAAUAAUAUUGUUGUUACUUUUGGGUCACUUAUAUGCAUAACUUCCUGUUAUAGAGAACAGAAAGACAUUCUCUUAUAUGCAGACUACACAUAUAGACUUAUCAUGAUCUAAGAAUGAACAUAACAGGUAUUUGGUCCUACUGGCUAAUUGUUGCAAAAAAGAACAGCUUCAGGUCAGUUAUGCAAAAGCCAAAUUCACUGUUUUGAAGAUAUCCCUCAGCUUUUUACUAGUUUGUCUCAAAUAAUCCCAUAAGACCAGUAAACUCAUUUAUGGUUCAAGAUUUAUGUAGAAAAGGAAGAGGGGCAUGAUCUGCCCACCUAGAGAUGAGGGGCUGUGCUUCUCCAGGGAAGGCAAUCAGACUGUUUCUCAGGCCUUAGGUGGUACCUAUUAUCUUUGGCAAUUUCCCAUGGUCUGUUGGGUGGCCCUUGGUCUUAUGGCCUUAGAAACCUAGUUUUGUCAAUUACAUUCAUCUUAACCAGGCAUAUGAGAUUAGACAUAAAACCAAAACACCAAUGCACUGAUUCACUGAAAAGUGUGUUCCAUACAUGCUUUCAUCAAUGCUUUGAGGCUAUGAAGAAGGUUUUCUCUAAGAACCAGGACAUGAAGGUGUCCACUGAGACUUAAGCUAUAAAAUCAAAACAUAAUGGGGACUGUGGACUGGAAUACCUAAGUGGGCACAGGCAGCCCAUUUUUUCCCUUUAGUCAAGUUGUAUGGGAAGCCAAAUCAUAAACCGAGUAACGAUCAAAUUCAUUUACAACAUCAAAGAUGAUUGUUAUGAUGGGAAUACAUGACGUCCAUAUUUUCCACACAAAAUUUCCCUGUAGGGAUCCUGACAUGGGAAGCCAGAGUAAUCAAGAGAUUGCUUAUAAACAUGGAAGGAGAGCAAGAGGAGUGGGAAUAAUUGAGUGUUUAAUGGUCUCAGACAUCCAUCCAGCUCAUAUUAGGGAGGUUCUUGUCUGGGAAUCUGAACAUUUAUGGUCACUUGGUUACAAUCUCCUGCUUUAAUCCCCACAUGGGGAAUAGCCUUUCCGGCCAAAAAAAUAAUGAAGAUUCAAAAACUGUUGGCUAAGAUUUCUGUUCCCCUGGACAGCGCCCCUUGCUGGUCCACUGCCUGUAUUUCCCUCCACGCUUUUUCUAGGAUAGCCAGGUCCUGCCUGGGUAGCAUUCUCUUUCUUUAAGGUGAUUUUAAAUAUUUCCAGUUCAACCCAUUAUGUUUUGAUUUUACAGUUCAGCUCUCAGAGGAACAUCUUAUUCCAAACUCUUGAGAUUCAACUUGGUAGCCUACAAAUACUGACAAGCAAAGAUUUUUGCGACUUGUUUAUCUUGGAAACCACCCCAAGAAACUAUGUG